rnacentral:misc_RNA from 1 species
CUUCCCAACACUUUAGACAACAUUCCCUAAGAAUCUGGAGCCUAAGCUCUGAUACCACAUUUGUCACGACCCAACCUAUGGGCCGGACCGGCACUAGGACCUGGGCUAGCCUAAAGCCUCCGAGACCUGUAAUAAGCCUAACUAUUUCUUAACCAAUGACUAGACCCAUAAUUUAGGCCCAAUAUACAUAAAAAAUAAUUUAAAUUAACUGUUAUAAUUUUAUUUCGGGCCAACUUAGUCCAGUAGUUAUCAGAAACUAAAAUUAGGGGAGCCCAGCUCAACCCUGUUACCUCAUUUACAAACUGUUUAAAUACCAUACAAAUCUUCAUUUAUAAAUCUCAAAAAUUUAAAUUAACACAAUUUCUAACAAGGUCCACACUAUUACUAACACAUGCGGAGUUCUAGAUUUUAAAUUUAGAAAAAGAUAGUAAAACAAUUAAAUAAUUGACGUUAAACCUGCGAGGAAGAAAACAGGUUGCUCUGUAAAAUAACUCCUCCUGUGGCCUGGAAAAAUAUUGAACAGGAGUGAGCGUUCGACUCAGAGAGUAAAAUAUCAAUUUUAACCAUAAUCUCUAUAACUAUCUAAAACUAAUGCACCCUGUAGAGUGAAAUGCAACAUCAACAACAUUUUCACAUCAUAACAUCAAAAAGGUAAUUUGGAGCACUCACGCACCCUGUAACAUCAAUCAUAAUAUAUGGGAGCUGAUCCCCUAUACAGCUCUCUUAAAUCCAACCUGUGCCAGCGAAGAACUCAGCUCGGACUUCCACUUAAUAACCAAAUCGGGGUCCCAGCGAAGAACUCAAGCCGUGUCUACCCGUCCUAUCCAUAGUCCACACCACAUCACACGCACGCCAACGCACGCACACUGCUCCAAAUUACCACAACAACAUCCAUGGCACUUUAACAGUUAUGAAUGCAACAUAAAUCGUGCCUAGAGUUUAACUACAUAAAUAUAUGCAUAUAAGUGAUGCAUGGGCAUGCUUGAACAUAUAAUAAUAUCGAAAUUACAAUUAAAAUUAAUAUUUUACUCACAGACUUGACAGCAGUCACUGUGGCGGCUGGGCGAAGGAAGAAGGCUGUCCCGGCUCACCUUUGCCGAUUCCGACUUCGGGGACGCGCUCGGGACGUCUGACAAUGGGGGGGUAGCCAAAACCUCGGUCCAAUUCGGAGACUUUUCCGGUAACGGGUCUGUCUGGCCCGAAAUUUGCAGACCCGGUCAACUGUCGAAUUUCCGCGAAUCGAGGAUACCGAAAAACGUUGUCGGAAAAUUUUGAAAUUAAUAUCCCGCGAAGCCCUCGUCGAGUGGAGCGUGCUGGUAGCCUCGGUUUUCUCGUGGGAUUCACGGUUUUCGAGAAAUCUAGCCCAAAAGUCGAAAUGGGCUAAAAACUUCCCGAGCAAAAAUUGGACAAACCGCUCGAUGGAUUUCGGCGUUCUUGGUGUCUAUGGAAAGCUCUCGCCGAGUAGAUGAUUUUAGACACAAGACCCGGUCCAAUUGGUGGCCGGAUCGGCCGGAUUUUGGCCGGAGAAGUCCAACAGUCUCACGCGCGCUGCGCAUCCAUUCUAAGGCCGUUUUCCGGCGUUCCAGGCGGCGGCCGGUGGACUGGGAAGGCUAGGGGUGGGCGCCAGCGAGCUGGGGUGGCAGGGGAGGCGGCGGCGCGGCAAGGGGAGAAGGGAGGAGAGAGAAAAAGAGAGAGAAAGGGAGAGGGGUCGGGACGUGCGGGGAGGAAGAAGGAAGAAAAAGAAAAGGCCGGUCCGAUUCGACCGGUCCGAUCCGGUCCGGUUCGAUUCGGCCGGUUCGAUUCGAAAUACAAAAUUUUGAAUUUUUACUCUGUCUCGGGACCAAAAACGAGGUCCAAAAAUUUCGAAAAAAUUUCAGAAAACUCAGAAAAAUACGUAGACUCCAAAUAUAUUUUUAGUUUUGCCACGUGGUCUUUAAAUUAAUUUUUAAAAAUCAUCAAAGUUUAUAUUUUCGGAAAAUCGAACCCGAUUUCUAAAAUCCGAAAAAUUUCAAAUAAUUUCCUAAAAUUUAAAUAAAAUUAAAAUACCAAAAAUGCUCAUAAAAUUUAAAAUUUUGGGGUGUUACAUUCUUCCCCCCUUACAGAAAAUUCGUCCUCGAAUUUUACACAAGGCAGAAUAAAGUACAGAAUUAUAAAUUGAAUAGAUAAGGGUACUUGCUACGCAUAUCCCGUUCUGACUCCCAAGUGCACUCUUCCACUGACUGGCUCCUCCACAAAACCUUAACCAUAGGGAUCUGUUUUGAUCUCAGCUGUCUCACUUGGUAGUCCACUAUGGCUACAGGUUGCUCCUCAAACGUCAAGUUCUCUUUUAGCUCUAUUACAUCCGGCUGUAGUACAUGAGAAGGAUCUGGAAUGUAUUUCCUGAGCAUGGAGAUGUGAAACACGGGAUGAACGUGAGAAAGGUUGGGUGGUAGCUCCAACCGGUAGGCAACUGCUCCAACUCUAUCAGUAACCUCAAAAGGUCCAAUAUACCGAGGUGCCAACUUGCCCUUCUUUCCAAAUCUCAUGACUCCCUUCAUUGGAGAAACCUUCAGGAAUACAUAAUUAUAUGAAGCAGAAACUAGAAGCAAAGAUGACAAUGCAAGACGAAUG